rnacentral:piRNA from 1 species
UUCUUAUGACAUAGUCGUGAUGAAAACUGC